GAUGAACGCUGGCGGCGUGCCUAAUACAUGCAAGUCGAGCGAACAGACGAGGAGCUUGCUCCUCUGACGUUAGCGGCGGACGGGUGAGUAACACGUGGAUAACCUACCUAUAAGACUGGGAUAACUUCGGGAAACCGGAGCUAAUACCGGAUAACAUGUUGAACCGCAUGGUUCAACAGUGAAAGACGGUUUUGCUGUCACUUAUAGAUGGAUCCGCGCCGCAUUAGCUAGUUGGUAAGGUAACGGCUUACCAAAGCAACGAUGCGUAGCCGACCUGAGAGGGUGAUCGGCCACACUGGAACUGAGACACGGUCCAGACUCCUACGGGAGGCAGCAGUAGGGAAUCUUCCGCAAAGGGCGAAAGCCUGACGGAGCAACGCCGCGUGAGUGAAGAAGGUCUUCGGAUCGUAAAACUCUGUUAUUAGGGAAGAACAAAUGUGUAAGUAACUAUGCACGUCUUGACGGUACCUAAUCAGAAAGCCACGGCUAACUACGUG
rnacentral:rRNA from 1 species